UUCUGGUAAUGAAAAUGGGCUUUCAGCCCUUGCUCAAUAAUAAUAAUAAUAAUUAUUAUUAUUAUUAUUGAGCAAGGGCUGAAAGCCCAUUUUCAUUA
rnacentral:pre_miRNA from 1 species